AUUGAACGCUGGCGGCAGGCCUAACACAUGCAAGUCGAACGAGUGGCGGACGUGUGAGUAAUGUCUGGGAAACUGCCUGAUGGAGGGGGAUAACUACUGUAACCAGUAGCUAAUACCGCAUACCAUCGGAUGUGCACAGAUGGGAUUAGCUUGUAGGUGGGGUAAAGGCUCACCUAGGCGACGAUCCCUAGCUGGUCGGAGAGGAUGACCAGCCACACUGGACCUGAGACACGGUCCAGACUCAUAGGGGAGGCAGCAGAGGGGAAUAUUGCAAAAUGGGCGCAAGCCGGACGCAGCAAGGCCGCGGGGAGGAAGAAGGCCUUCGUGUUGUAAAGUACGUUAAGCGGGGAGGCGUUACCCACAGAAGAAGCACCGGCUAACUCCGUGCCAGCAGCCGCGGUAAUAC
rnacentral:rRNA from 1 species